GUUUUCAUUGGAGCAACCAUUGGUAUCAGCUCUCUUGGAAUCUUUGGUGUCCGCAAACUUCAGAAAUGGGCUCUUAUUCUGUAUUUAGUUCUCGUCUCUCUGGGGAUGGUGUACAGUUUGUACGAGGGUGUAAUGAUGGUAGUGAACAAAACUGAGGUUAUGGAUGAGGUCGCAGGCACGCUUGGAGAUGAAUUCGAAGUUCACCACAAGUUCUUAAAUGGCAUAUAUGAUGCUGGAGUUGGGAUCGACUUUGCACUGGCUGUUGCAGCGUUCCUGGGGAUGUUAAUGGUUGUGCCCCUGCUGCGUCAAAUGUCAGGAGAGGAGAGACAUCCAUCCAUUAGUCCAUCAUCCCCAAUGUACAUAAACACAUACAAGGUCGGGUGCACACAAGCAGC